rnacentral:rRNA from 1 species
UGGGGAAUAUUGCACAAUGGGCGAAAGCCUGAUGCAGCGACGCCGCGUGAGGGAUGACGGCCUUCGGGUUGUAAACCUCUUUCAUCAGGGACGAAGCGCAAGUGACGGUACCUGCAGAAGAAGCACCGGCUAACUACGUGCCAGCAGCCGCGGUAAUACGUAGGGUGCAAGCGUUGUCCGGAAUUACUGGGCGUAAAGAGUUCGUAGGCGGUUUGUCGCGUCGUUUGUGAAAACCAGCAGCUCAACUGCUGGCUUGCAGGCGAUACGGGCAGACUUGAGUACUGCAGGGGAGACUGGAAUUCCUGGUGUAGCGGUGAAAUGCGCAGAUAUCAGGAGGAACACCGGUGGCGAAGGCGGGUCUCUGGGCAGUAACUGACGCUGAGGAACGAAAGCGUGGGUAGCGAACAGG